rnacentral:lncRNA from 1 species
UUUCUCCCCACGUGGAAACAUAUUCUCUCUCUCCCCAUGGAAGCACAUGUUCCUUUAUCUCUGUGUUUUCUCUCUUCCACGUAUCUUCUUCUCUCCAUACUCUCUCUUUUUUCGGAUCGAAAAGAAAACCAUCAUCUCUUUGCAACCCGAAGGAAACGAGUUUGGUGCCAUGGAUCUAAUUGAUCAAGAUCUUACUGCCUCAAAUAUGAGUUGCUCAUCUAGAUCGGUCAUACUCUCCGAUCUGACACAAAUCUCGCUGAUCUCACGUAACCAUGCUCUCAUCUUCAAAGUCAAAUCAUGGGCUGCUUUGAUCUAGAACAUCUGACAGACUAGGAGUAAUACUUACAUGUUUUCCAUACAUGGAUGCAUUGGUGUGAUCCUCCUGUAGGUUCUAAAUCGUCGAAUCACACCCAGAUCUGAAGUGGUGUAUCCCUUUGUUGGAGGCCUCUAAUCUAAUCUCCUCAUCCAAGUCUAACACGUCCCGCUCUCCGGGAUUUCUUUGGUUGAUGAAGAAGAAGGGUUCCAAAUUCUGACCCUGCUGUACUGGUGGCACAGUCCGUCUUCGCCAAUGCAACAAGCGGAGUUCGUUCCAGCGAUCACACAUCUAUGGAAGCUAAUUCAACUACUUUUUGGACUGAGCAGAUGGGGAAAAACAGGCAAGUACAUAGCAGCUAGCUGAUUGAUUCAUGUAUAGUACAUGCACGUACAUAUAUCGUUAUUUGCCUUCGGCCAUAGAUACAUCCUGCUUAUGUAUUUUGGAUUGUAUUAUUGCAGGUUGACUAAAUAGUUUUUGACAAGCUAGCUUUAUACUUGGAGAUCGAUUCAGGCAACAUCGCAGCAGGGAGUAGAUGUAUUCAGUUUUUGCAGAUCCCUUUCACUCCUCGGCUGCAGGCACACACAGGUGAGAACGCAUACACAUGCACAUGCAGAACCAUGUCCCUGUUCUUUAUUUUAUGGCAAGUCAUCAGAUUGAAAGAGGAAAUAUCCAUAUUAUGGGCGUCGUACAUGGGGUCGUCGUUGCCAGAGACUAUCAACCCGUUGGGCGGGUGUCAAGGUCAGGUUCAAAGUAAUCAAGAAAAGAAGCCUUAUGGGUGCCGUCAAGGGCUUCAUCGAUGCAUUAUCUUGCAUGUGAUUCUCCACUAAUAUCUCCUCUUUAAUUAACAACCCUAUGUGUUGAUAACGUUUCUUUUUGAACCUAUGGAGGCCCGGGCAUGCAGAUCGGUUCGUCCUUAGGUCAUCUAUCAAAUGAGUGUCAGGAAAUAGUUCUGAUAUUUGUUCCAGUUUCAUAGAUCAUGAGGGAAAAUUUCAAAAACAAAGGAUGCAGUUAGAGGAGCAAUAGAAAUCUCAUGGUGUGGAGAGGAAUCGUUGUGACGGGAGCACCAGAUCAAGGAAUUUCUCACGAAUGUGUCUAGGCGAAGACAUAUCCUUGGUGCAGCGGGAAUAAUCCAGCUGUUAUGGUCCUAUCUAUUUUAUAUGGUACAAACUUUUCUCUUCAAUUUCCUACUGUGUGCAUUAUGCACUCAUGAGUUGUUCAACGCAUUCCUAUGAUUCUUAAAG